rnacentral:rRNA from 1 species
GACGAACCGUGCAAACGUUGUUCGGAAUCACUGGGCUUAAAGGGCGCGUAGGCGGCAGAUCAAGUCAGGGGUGAAAUCCGGCAGCUCAACUGUCGAAGUGCCUUUGAUACUGAUUUGCUCGAGGGAGAUAGGGGUCUGCGGAACUUCUGGUGGAGCGGUGAAAUGCGUUGAUAUCAGAAGGAACGCCGGUGGCGAAAGCGGCGGACUGGAUCUCUUCUGACGCUGAGGCGCGAAAGCUAGGGGAGCAAACGGG